UACGUAGGGACCAAGCGUUGUUCGGAUUUACUGGGCGUAAAGGGCGCGUAGGCGGCGCGGUAAGUCACUUGUGAAAUCUCUGAGCUUAACUCAGAACGGCCAAGUGAUACUGCAGUGCUAGAGUGUGGAAGGGGCAAUCGGAAUUCUCGGUGUAGCGGUGAAAUGCGCAGAUAUCAGGAGGAACACCGAUGGCGAAGGCAGGUCUCUGGGCCACUACUGACGCUGAGAAGCGAAAGCAUGGGGAGCGAACAGG
rnacentral:rRNA from 1 species